rnacentral:rRNA from 1 species
GAUGAACGCUGGCGGCGUGCCUAAUACAUGCAAGUCGAGCGAACGGACGAGAAGCUUGCUUCUCUGAUGUUAGCGGCGGACGGGUGAGUAACACGUGGAUAACCUACCUAUAAGACUGGGAUAACUUCGGGAAACCGGAGCUAAUACCGGAUGAUAUUUUGAACCGCAUGGUUCAAAAGUGAAGGACGGUCUUGCUGUCACUUAUAGAUGGAUCCGCGCUGCAUUAGCUAGUUGGUAAGGUAACGGCUUACCAAGGCAACGAUGCAUAGCCGACCUGAGAGGGUGAUCGGCCACACUGGAACUGAGACACGGUCCAGACUCCUACGGGAGGCAGCAGUAGGGAAUCUUCCGCAAUGGGCGAAAGCCUGACGGAGCGACGCCGCGUGAGUGAUGAAGGUCUUCGGAUCGUAAAACUCUGUUAUUAGGGAAGAACAUAUGUGUAAGUAACUGUGCACAUCUUGACGGUACCUAAUCAGAAAGCCACGGCUAACUACGUG